rnacentral:rRNA from 1 species
AUACGAAGGGUGCAAGCGUUAAUCGGAAUUACUGGGCGUAAAGCGCGCGUAGGUGGUUUUGUAAGUUGGAGGUGAAAGCCCCGGGCUCAACCUGGGAAUUGCCUCCAAAACUGCAUGACUAGAGUACGGUAGAGGGUAGUGGAAUUUCCUGUGUAGCGGUGAAAUGCGUAGAUAUAGGAAGGAACACCAGUGGCGAAGGCGACUCCCUGGACGGAUACUGACACGAGGGUGCGAAGGCGUGGGGAGCAAACGGGAUUAGAUCCCCUGGUAGUCCACGCCGUAAACGAUGUCAACUAGCCGUUGGGAUCCUUGAGAUCUUAGUGGCGCAGCUAACGCAUUAAGUCGACCGCCUGGGGAGUACGGCCGCAAGGUUAAAACUCAAAUGAAUUGACGGGG